UACAGAGGUCUCAAGCGUUGUUCGGAUUCAUUGGGCGUAAAGGGUGCGUAGGCGGCGCGGUAAGUCGGGUGUGAAAUCUCGGAGCUUAACUCCGAAACUGCAUUCGAUACUGCCGUGCUUGAGGACUGGAGAGGAGACUGGAAUUUACGGUGUAGCGGUGAAAUGCGUAGAUAUCAGGAGGAACACCGGUGGCGAAGGCGGCUAUCUGGACAGAAACUGACGCUGAGGCGCGAAAGCUAGGGGAGCAAACAGG
rnacentral:rRNA from 1 species